GCUGUUGUAGCUCAGCCGGCAGAGCACGUCCUUGGUAAGGACGAGGUCGUGAGUUCGAAUCUCACCAACAGCU
rnacentral:tRNA from 1 species